rnacentral:misc_RNA from 1 species
AUUUUUUAGAAAUAUAAAAUCUAAAUAAUAAUUUUCCAUUUUAAAAUUAACCAUCUGAGGCUGCAUGGUUAAUUUUAAAGCAUAAAUCUUACCCUUUUUGCCAACAAAGAAAGGCUCAACAGAUCACAAAUGAGUAGCCUGAACCUGAAGAAACAUUGCAAACAACAAUUCAAAGCAACUUAAACAUCUCCAUCAACACAGAUGAAAAGUUGCAUCAAGAGCAAAAGCCAAAGUAAUAAUUACAACCACCGUUUUUUCCACCCAACAAGAACAAAUAGAGCAGCAGAUAUCCUCCCCAAAGUGUUAAUUAAAAGAGAAAAAGAAAGAAAGGAAAGGAAAACUAGUACAAUGGAAAGGGAAAACAAGAAAAAAAAAAAUGACAGUUGGCUCCUAAUUAAAGAAGAUAAGCCCCAGAUCAAACAAAUAAUAAAGGACAAGAUUAAACAUGAUAAUUAUGGGCAUGAACAAAGCAAUGAAAUUCCUUUUACAAUCCCUGCUGGGGUGAUGCAGCCAACUCAUCGAGAAGAAUUAUCAUCCACAUCAACUACAUCUGGCUGUAGAUCUUGAUCUUCACCUAGGCUAGAACGACGUAGCUCCUCAAUUCGACUAGUUACUUCGGACAUUGAUGGACGAUUAUCAGGAUAUUGGGCUGCACAAUCUAUUCCAAGCUGUAAGAGCUGAACCAUCUCUUCCUCGACAUUUUGGUACCUGAGGAGCUCAAGAUCAAACACUUCUGAAGUCCAUUCCUCUCGAACUAUGGACUGAACCCAUCUGGGAAGGUCCACACCUUCCUCAUGCAAAAGGGCAUGGGUGGGGGGCUUCCCAGUCAGCAGCUCCAAUAGCAAUACGCCAAAGCUAAAAACGUCAGCUUUCUGGGAAACUCUGCGAGGGUCAGUCACUUCUGGUGCUCGGUAGCCAGCAACUCGGUUAGGAGUAGAGGAAGGACCAACAAGGUGAGCAAGUCCAAAGUCAGAUACUCGAGCUUCAUAGGAUUGAGUGAGAAGGAUAUUGGAUGAUUUGAUGUUUCCAUGGGAGACAUUGGGACCUUGAGAGUGUAGGUAUUGGAUACCACGGGCAGCUCCAAGGGCAAUACCAGAUCUAAUUUCCCAGUUCAAUGGAGUCCUACCAGCUCCCUUGUUUCCUGAGGUAAACAGUUUAAGAGAAGAAAUAAUGGUGAAAAUAAAGUUCACAUAGCAAAAUGCACCGGCAUAUCUUUAGGUUUAGAAGUUUUAUAGAAUCAAAUAUUCUUUCUUGGAGAUUUUUUUUGGGUUCAAGCCUUUUCCUAUCAUCUAACAGAACAAAACUACAGAAAUAACAGAAUAAAAAAAUGUUCAACAAAACAUGAUUGGGUCACGGCAUAUGAAAAUACUAUACUUGCAAACAAGACAAUGUAUAUAUCCUGACAAUUAGAUCAAAGCAAAAACACAACUAGAUAACUCCACCUAAAGGGAACAAUUGAUGUCACCCUUCAUAGAGUAUAAGAAAAUAUCAAACAAGAAAUGACAAAUUACAUGGACUUCUACUUAAUUUGCAGCAACCAUUCUGCAAGAAACAAGCAAAUUUAAACAAACCCAUGGGCAACAUCUUUGAAGCUUCAUUGUGGAUGCCAAGGAAUGCAGACAUGUAGAACAAAAACCUUAAACAUAAUUCAAAAGAAUUACAAAUCCUGAAUCAUUCCCAUCAUUGUCUGGGCAGAAGGAUUCAGUUAAAAAAGAUCCAGCAACAAACAGAAGGAGAUAAAUACAGUACUUUUUUUGUCUUUUGAAAAAAAGGCUAAUCAUCUUCAAAGUUGAUUACACAGAGAUCACCACAAUCAUUCACCAAACUAGAAAAGCUGAAUAUUAUAUGAAACAAAAAGGCAAAAACUAAGAAAUACUCACCAUGCAAAAGGGCAGACAAGCUUCCCAUAGGCAUGUAAUCAUAAACAAGAAGCUUCUCAUCCCUGCUAUAAUAGUAAGCUCUUAAGGGGACCAAACUCUCAUGAUCCAUCGCUCCCACCAUCUCAAUCUUCUCCUUGAAUUCUCUCUCUGAAAUGGUCACAUCCUUUAACCUUUUCACGGCCACCGCAGUUCCUACCUCCAACACCGCCCUAUACGCAGUCCCGAAUGUUCCUUUUCCCAAAACCUCCGCGGAAGCUCUCAAUAAGUCUUCCAAAUCAAACACCCUCGAUGUUUUACCAAAAAACACCAACUUUUUGGCCCCAGCUCCGUUCACUUCGGCUCCUCCUUUUCCAUUCCCCACCAUUGCUGCUGCAGCAGCAGCGGCAACUGAGUAUCCAUUAGCAUUCCCGUACCCGCUACCAUUCUCCACUUCCCCAAUAGGCUUCUCCCCCAGUUCUUGCUGUUUAAUCGACGCAAUGUCAAUCGAUCUUGACUUCUUGCUACCCUUCUUUCGGCACAGAAACAUCAAAAUCAAAACAAGCAAGAAGAAUCCAACUACAGAUCCAAUCACAAUACCAACAAUGGCACCACCGGAAAGCUUCUUCUUUUUACCAGCAUUGCCUGCUUCGUCAGUUGGUGUACUAGGCACCACGUCAGAAGUAUUUGUACCAGUAGGAGCGCAAGCAAUAAGAGGUUGACCACAUAGCGAAUUACCCAGAAAAGAACUAGAGUUAAAGGCCUUAAAUCUUUCAGGUAUAGAGCCAUUCAACAAAUUAUUUGACACAUUGAAUUGCUCCAACUUCUCAAACUUCAAAUCAGGAAUUGACCCAGACAACCGGUUGUUCUCCAGGUACAAAGUCCUCAAUCUGGUAAAAUUUCCAAAACCCACAGAGAUCGCACCGGUAAAGUUGUUCUCACCCAGAUUAAGCCGCACAAGAUCUUGUAAAGUAAAGAGAAACUCAGGGAUCUCACCGGAGAACAGAUUUCCUUGCAAGUAGAGGUUCCUGACUUUCGUACAAGCAGCGAGAUCUAAAGGCAACUGACCAGUGAGAGCAUUAAGACGGAGACUAAGAGUACGCAGUUGCGUAAGGUUAGAGAAAAUUCCAGUGGGGAGUUGACCGGAGAGGGCCACUCCAGGGAGGCGCAGGACAGUAACACGAUUACCCUCGCAUAAAACGCCCGCCCAAGAACAAGGGGUGGACUGGGAAAUGUUCCAGAACAAGGUGCGGCCACCGACAGAAGAGCGGAUAGAAAGGAGAGCAGCCCGGUCGGCGGCGAGAUCUGGUUUAGACAAAGGAAGGAAGAGUAAGACAAAGAAGACGGAAAAUGAGAGAUUUUUCAGAAACAUCUUGCGUAGUUUGAGAGAAGAGGUUGAGACGGUAAUAGAAAAGGUGGGAUUUUUGAGGUUAGGAGAGAGGCAUUGUCCGGAGAGAGACAAGAAG